UGGGGAAUAUUGCACAAUGGGGGAAACCCGUGAUGCAGCGACGCCGCGUGAGCGAAGAAGUAUUUCGGUAUGUAAAGCUCUAUCAGCAGGGAAGAUAAUGACGGUACCUGACUAAGAAGCCUCGGCUAACUACGUGCC
rnacentral:rRNA from 1 species